GACGAACGCUGGCGGCGUGCCUAAUACAUGCAAGUUGAGCGCUGAAGGUUGGUACUUGUCCCGACUGGAUGAGCAGCGAACGGGUGAGUAACGCGUGGGGAAUCUGCCUUUGAGCGGGGGACAACAUUUGGAAACGAAUGCUAAUACCGCAUAAAAACUUUAAACACAAGUUUUAAGUUUGAAAGAUACAAUUGCAUCACUCAAAGAUGAUCCCGCGUUGUAUUAGCUAGUUGGUGAGGUAAAGGCUCACCAAGGCGAUGAUACAUAGCCGACCUGAGAGGGUGAUCGGCCACAUUGGGACUGAGACACGGCCCAAACUCCUACGGGAGGCAGCAGUAGGGAAUCUUCGGCAAUGGACGAAAGUCUGACCGAGCAACGCCGCGUGAGUGAAGAAGGUUUUCGGAUCGUAAAACUCUGUUGGUAGAGAAGAACGUUGGUGAGAGUGGAAAGCUCAUCAAGUGACGGUAACUACCCAGAAAGGGACGGCUAACUACGUG
rnacentral:rRNA from 1 species